CCCGCUGAACUUAAGCA
rnacentral:rRNA from 2 species